rnacentral:rRNA from 1 species
GACAGAGGGUGCGAACGUUGUUCGGAAUUACUGGGCGUAAAGGGCGCGUAGGCGGCCUUCUAAGUCGAACGUGAAAUCCCCGGGCUCAACCCGGGAACUGCGUCCGAUACUGGAAGGCUUGAAUCCGGGAGAGGGAUGCGGAAUUCCAGGUGUAGCGGUGAAAUGCGUAGAUAUCUGGAGGAACACCGGUGGCGAAGGCGGCAUCCUGGACCGGCAUUGACGCUGAGGCGCGAAAGCCAGGGGAGCAAACGGG